GACGAACGCUGGCGGCGUGCUUAACACAUGCAAGUCGAACGGAAAGGCCCGGCUUUUGUGGGGUGCUCGAGUGGCGAACGGGUGAGUAACACGUGAGUAACCUGCCCCUGACUUUGGGAUAACUUCAGGAAACUGGGGAUCAUAUCCGAUAGGAGCUUCUGCUGCACGGUGGGGGUUGGAAAGUUUCGGCGGUUGGGGAUGGACUCGCGGCUUAUCAGCUUGUUGGUGGGGUAGUGGCUUACCAAGGCUUCGACGGGUAGCCGGCCUGAGAGGGUGACCGGGCCCAUUGGGCCUGAGGAAGGACCCAGACUGCAACGGGGGGCAUCGGGGGAGAACAUUGCGCAAUGGGCGGAAGCAUGAUGCAACGGCGCCGGGUGCGGAAUGACGGCCUUCGGGUUAUAAACCGCUUUCGCGUGUGACGAAGCGUGAGUGACGGUAAUGUGUAAAGAAGCAACGGCUAACUACGUG
rnacentral:rRNA from 1 species